GUUAUAUGGUCAAGUGAAGAAGCGCAUACGGUGGAUGCUUGGCAGUCAGAGGCGAUGAAAGACGUGGUAGCCUGCGAAAAGCUUCGGGGAGUCGGCAAACAGACUGUGAUCCGGAGAUGUCUGAAUGGGGGAACCCAGCCAUCACAAGAUGGUUAUCUUACGCUGAAUACAUAGGUGUAAGAGGCGAACCAGGGGAACUGAAACAUCUAAGUACCCUGAGGAAAAGAAAUCAACCGAGAUUCCCUUAGUAGUGGCGAGCGAACGGGGACCAGCCCUUAAGUUGUAUUGAGAUUAGCGGAACGCUCUGGAAAGUGCGGCCAUAGUGGGUGAUAGCCCUGUACGCGAAAAUCCCUUUGCAAUGAAAUCGAGUAGGACGGGGCACGAGAAACCUUGUCUGAAUAUGGGGGGACCAUCCUCCAAGGCUAAAUACUACUGACUGACCGAUAGUGAACCAGUACCGUGAGGGAAAGGCGAAAAGAACCGCGGAGAGCGGAGUGAAAUAGAUCCUGAAACCGUAUGCGUACAAGCAGUGGGAGCCCACUUUGUUGGGUGACUGCGUACCUUUUGUAUAAUGGGUCAGCGACUUAUUUUCAGUGGCGAGCUUAACCGAAUAGGGGAGGCGUAGCGAAAGCGAGUCUUAAUAGGGCGUCUAGUCGCUGGGAAUAGACCCGAAACCGGGCGAUCUAUCCAUGGGCAGGUUGAAGGUUGGGUAACACUAACUGGAGGACCGAACCGACUACCGUUGAAAAGUUAGCGGAUGACCUGUGGAUCGGAGUGAAAGGCUAAUCAAGCUCGGAGAUAGCUGGUUCUCCUCGAAAGCUAUUUAGGUAGCGCCUCAUGUAUCACUGUAGGGGGUAGAGCACUGUUUCGGCUAGGGGGUCAUCCCGACUUACCAAACCGAUGCAAACUCCGAAUACCUACAAGUGCCGAGCAUGGGAGACACACGGCGGGUGCUAACGUCCGUCGUGAAAAGGGAAACAACCCAGACCGUCAGCUAAGGUCCCAAAGUCAUGGUUAAGUGGGAAACGAUGUGGGAAGGCUUAGACAGCUAGGAGGUUGGCUUAGAAGCAGCCACCCUUUAAAGAAAGCGUAAUAGCUCACUAGUCGAGUCGGCCUGCGCGGAAGAUGUAACGGGGCUCAAACCAUGCACCGAAGCUACGGGUAUCACCUUUGGUGAUGCGGUAGAGGAGCGUUCUGUAAGCCUGUGAAGGUGAGUUGAGAAGCUUGCUGGAGGUAUCAGAAGUGCGAAUGCUGACAUGAGUAACGACAAUGGGUGUGAAAAACACCCACGCCGAAAGACCAAGGUUUCCUGCGCAACGUUAAUCGACGCAGGGUUAGUCGGUCCCUAAGGCGAGGCUGAAAAGCGUAGUCGAUGGAAAACAGGUUAAUAUUCCUGUACUUCUGGUUAUUGCGAUGGAGGGACGGAGAAGGCUAGGCCAGCCUGGCGUUGGUAGUCCAGGUUUAAGGUGGUAGGCUGAGAUCUUAGGUAAAUCCGGGAUCUUAAGGCCGAGAGCUGAUGACGAGUGUUCUUUUAGAACAUGAAGUGGUUGAUGCCAUGCUUCCAAGAAAAGCUUCUAAGCUUCAGGUAACCAGGAACCGUACCCCAAACCGACACAGGUGGUUGGGUAGAGAAUACCAAGGCGCUUGAGAGAACUCGGGUGAAGGAACUAGGCAAAAUGGCACCGUAACUUCGGGAGAAGGUGCGCCGGUGAGGGUGAAGCAUUUACUGCGUAAGCCCACGCCGGUCGAAGAUACCAGGCCGCUGCGACUGUUUAUUAAAAACACAGCACUCUGCAAACACGAAAGUGGACGUAUAGGGUGUGACGCCUGCCCGGUGCCGGAAGGUUAAUUGAUGGGGUUAGCGCAAGCGAAGCUCUUGAUCGAAGCCCCGGUAAACGGCGGCCGUAACUAUAACGGUCCUAAGGUAGCGAAAUUCCUUGUCGGGUAAGUUCCGACCUGCACGAAUGGCGUAACGAUGGCGGCGCUGUCUCCACCCGAGACUCAGUGAAAUUGAAAUCGCUGUGAAGAUGCAGUGUAUCCGCGGCUAGACGGAAAGACCCCGUGAACCUUUACUAUAGCUUUGCACUGGACUUUGAAUUUGCUUGUGUAGGAUAGGUGGGAGGCUUUGAAGCGUGGACGCCAGUCUGCGUGGAGCCAACCUUGAAAUACCACCCUGGCAACUUUGAGGUUCUAACUCAGGUCCGUUAUCCGGAUCGAGGACAGUGUAUGGUGGGUAGUUUGACUGGGGCGGUCUCCUCCUAAAGAGUAACGGAGGAGUACGAAGGUGCGCUCAGACCGGUCGGAAAUCGGUCGUAGAGUAUAAAGGCAAAAGCGCGCUUGACUGCGAGACAGACACGUCGAGCAGGUACGAAAGUAGGUCUUAGUGAUCCGGUGGUUCUGUAUGGAAGGGCCAUCGCUCAACGGAUAAAAGGUACUCCGGGGAUAACAGGCUGAUACCGCCCAAGAGUUCAUAUCGACGGCGGUGUUUGGCACCUCGAUGUCGGCUCAUCACAUCCUGGGGCUGAAGCCGGUCCCAAGGGUAUGGCUGUUCGCCAUUUAAAGUGGUACGCGAGCUGGGUUUAGAACGUCGUGAGACAGUUCGGUCCCUAUCUGCCGUGGACGUUUGAGAUUUGAGAGGGGCUGCUCCUAGUACGAGAGGACCGGAGUGGACGAACCUCUGGUGUUCCGGUUGUCACGCCAGUGGCAUUGCCGGGUAGCUAUGUUCGGAAAAGAUAACCGCUGAAAGCAUCUAAGCGGGAAACUUGCCUCAAGAUGAGAUCUCACUGGAACCUAGAGUUCCCUGAAGGGCCGUCGAAGACUACGACGUUGAUAGGUUGGGUGUGUAAGCGCUGUGAGGCGUUGAGCUAACCAAUACUAAUUGCCCGUGAGGCUUGACCAUAUAACACCCAAGCAAUU
rnacentral:rRNA from 1 species